AGGGUGCGACAGCGCUCUUGCGUCAUUGGUAAACACACCAAACCGCGGGCGUGGGUAACCAUAAAGUUAAUGGCUUCAGGCGUCACAUGCUCUGCCGCCAUUAUCA
rfam:Alteromonas macleodii str. &apos;Black Sea 11&apos;, complete genome.